rnacentral:misc_RNA from 1 species
ACACCUCAACUCUCACGGUUCGCCGUGACGAGCUUGGACUUUGGGGGACUUGCUGGCCUACGGUCGGCUCCCCUCAAAUGGAUCAGCUUUCCAGUGUUUGGCGGCGUCACAGGUGUGAUAAAUAUCUACGCUUGUGGUUUUCCACCAGGUAACCUUCAGUGAUGGGGGUUCGCUGGGGCUCAUAAACGUGUCUCUCCUCGGUGAAGACAGCUUUGUGAAC